UGAGUUGACAUUGAUACUUAGGGACCUUAGGCAACAUGAUGGCCUCUAUGUUAGAAUGGAGAAGUGUGGCAGCCAGGUAGUCCAUGAAAGUCUGUCUCAUGGCAGGCCCACAGGAAUGACCUAAAAGGUACAGGGUGGCAGUCCUCAUUGUAUCCCCACUUGAUUUAACAGUCAGGCCCUUCCCAAACCCAUAUGGAUUAGAGGAUGACAGUGGAUUAUUAUAAAAGAUCGAACAAGAAUUGGCUCCAAUUGUUAUGCUAGAACAUUUUUUGUAUUUCUACUAGAGACAGGGUUUCACCAUGCUGGCCAGGCUGGUCUCGAACUCCUGACCUUGUGAUCUGCCUGCCUUGGCCUCCCAAAGUAUUGGGAUUACAGGUGUGAGCCACCACGCCUGGCCAGUUUGAAUAAUUUUAGUGUGCCCUGGGGCAUAAGUCUGUGCACAGUUGUCUGUUACUUAGGUACAAUGUGCGUGGAGUGAAGAAAAAGUGGGAGAGAGGAGUAAUUCUUUUUAUUUUUUUGGUGCUGGA
rnacentral:lncRNA from 1 species